rnacentral:rRNA from 1 species
UACGUAGGGAGCAAGCGUUGUCCGGAAUCAUUGGGCGUAAAGCGCGCGUAGGCGGCCCUGUAAGUCCGCUGUGAAAGUCAAAGGCUCAACCUUUGAAAGCCGGUGGAUACUGCAGGGCUAGAGUCCGGAAGAGGCGAGUGGAAUUCCUGGUGUAGCGGUGAAAUGCGUAGAUAUCCGGAGGAACACCGGUGGCGAAGGCAGCUCGCUGGGACGGUACUGACGCUAAGGCGCGAAAGCGUGGGGAGCGAACAGG